GAUGAACGCUAGCGACAGGCCUAACACAUGCAAGUCGAGGGGCAGCACAUGAGUAGCAAUACGAUGGUGGCGACCGGCGCACGGGUGAGUAACACGUAUGCAACCUGCCUUUACUAUGGGAUAACCCGUUGAAAGACGGACUAAUACCGUAUAAUACAGGGGCUCCGCAUGGAGAUAUUUGUUAAAGAUUUAUUGGUAGAAGAUGGGCAUGCGUAUGAUUAGAUAGUUGGUGAGGUAACGGCUCACCAAGUCAACGAUCAUUAGGGGUUCUGAGAGGAAGGUCCCCCACACUGGUACUGAGACACGGACCAGACUCCUACGGGAGGCAGCAGUGAGGAAUAUUGGUCAAUGGACGAGAGUCUGAACCAGCCAAGUCGCGUGAAGGAAGACGGUUCUAUGAAUUGUAAACUUCUUUUGUGCAGGAAUAAAGUGGGUUACGUGUAACCUUUUGUAUGUACUGUACGAAUAAGGAUCGGCUAACUCCGUG
rnacentral:rRNA from 1 species